rnacentral:lncRNA from 1 species
GGUGAACACGUAGUACAUCACGCUCUGGCCCGCCAUGAAGUGCUGCUCCGCCGUCUCCAGGAAGCGCUCCAGCUUGAGAGAGGCUGUGCAACUCACCCACAGCAGCCGCGAUCUGGGCCUCCUCCUAUGUUCCCCUGUUCAGACCCCUGCUCCAUGAACUGGGCGGACCCAUGUCCACUAAAGUGCUGAGGAAGUGACAGCGUGUGAUUUCUGAGGCUAGAUCAUAAAGGGCACAGCAGUUCUCACCUCACUCUUCUGCCUGGGUUACUGCAGAGUAAGCCAGCUACCAGUAAGCCACCCCAGCAACCCUUUGGAGAGGCAUGCGUGGAGAGCAGCCAAGGCCCUGGUGGUCCCCGGCCUCCUUGCCGUGUGAGUGAACCGUGCUGGAAGUGGGUUUUCUGGCUCCAGACCUCAGACACUGCAGCCUGUAUGGCGUCUUCCCUGAGACCUCAUAUGACCUCAAACUCAUACACUGGGUCUGUGGAAGGGAGCAGAUAACCUCUCUGUUUCUAGUUCUUAGACUAAGAGGAACUGGACACCAGGAGCCUCAUACCAGGACUGCCCAGCCGAGCCACUCGAUUCCUGACCCACAUGGCCCUUGAGAUGACAAGUGAUUGCUGCUUAAAGUCACUGAGUUCUGGAAUAAUUUACAUCAUGGCAAUAGGUAACUAAUGCAGAUUCUGGUACCUGGAAAAGGAGUGCUGACAUCAAACAGCUCUAUAGAUGUGGGCGUGGCCUCAGAACUGGCCACAGGCAGGAGCCAGAAGGACUCUGUGGAAAGCGUGAGUGUC